GCCCCCUUCGUCUAUCGGCUAGGACGCCAGGUUCUCAUCCUGGUAAGAGGGGUUCGAUUCCCCUAGGGGGUGCCA
rnacentral:tRNA from 1 species